ensembl:lncRNA
CUUGGCUCCUCCUCUCUUAGGCUGGAGCUGCCUGUGGGUGACUCAGCAGCGCCUGCGCCUGCCCCGGCCUGAUAAGUGUGUGUGCCUGGGAAUGUGUGUGUGUGUGUGGUGGGGGUGGCCAGGGAGGGCUCUGUAUUUCUGAGUUUGUGCGUGGGAUGUCCACGUGGGAGUGUGCUUGUGAUCUUGACCUGGUGUGUGUCUCUCAUCUCUGUGUAUCACGGAGCGGGGCAGAUGCAUUUAUGGGUGUGACAGUGUGCCCUUGAUGGAGCUUGGAGUCAGCUCCCGUCCAGUUCAAGCUGGCUAGGACUGGAUCAGACCACUCACCCUAAAACUGGGCCUGCACAGAAGUCAGAUGAAUGACCUUUGGACAACAGAGGCCAAAAACUCCACCCUCAGAUCAUGCUAAGCACCUCCAUUGUUGAGCAUACAUCCUAGAAAGAAGCCAUGCCACUCAGAUGCACCUGCACAGAACCCUGACUACCUCACCCUUCCCCCACCUCCAAUCACCUUUCCCAAUGCCAAGACCUUGCUUCUUUAUCCCAUAAAUAUCCCCAGCCCUUCACCUUCAGGGAGGCAGAUCUGAGAUUUCUUCUCCUGUCUCCUCACUUGGCUGCCUUGUGAAUAAACCCUUUCUCUGCUGCAAAUAGUGGCAGAUUUUGUAUUUUUUGAGCUCCAGACUCACUAUGGAUGGUGACUGUGCCAUGAAAUUAAAAGAUCUUGCUCCUUGGAAGAAAAGCUAUGACAAACAGCAUAUUAAAAAGCAGAGACAUUACUUUGCUGAAAAAGGUCCAUAAAAGCUAUGGUUUUUCCAGUGGUCAUGUAUGGAUGUGAGGGUUGAACCAUAAAGAAGACUGAGCGCCAAAGAAUUGAUGCUUUCGAACUGUGGUGCUGGAGAAGACUCUUGAGAGUCCCUUGGACAGCAAGGAGAUCCAACCAGUCCAUCCUAAAGGAAAUCCUGAAUAUUCAUUGGAAGGACUGAUGCUGAAGCUGAAGCUCCAAUAGUUUGGCUACUUGAUGCGAAGAACUGACUCA